rnacentral:sRNA from 1 species
ACACGGAAGGGAGGUGGUCCAGGAAUUGAUUUCAUAUUGGACGCGUGAGGUGACUGCGCGCUAGGUGCGCAACGUCGACUGCUUCGACGGCGCGACCCGCGCAAUCCCAGCAGUUCACCGCAGCCCGCGGGCCGUGCAGGUCGUCCCCUGCACAUGCUGAGCCGCUCGAUUCGGCGAGGCGAGGCCCGCGGGCUGUUCCAU